UAUUUAGUGGAUAAGGUGUCGGCUGCUAAGUUCAGGGUCGUGGGUUCGAGCCCCACUGGGGUAGCGGCCAUGGCUUCUCAGGUGGCACGUACAGUACCAGCUGGUAGGAACUACAUUUUGGACUACUUUACUACGCUUGCUGUAAUCAGUUUUUCCUCCCUUUGUAGACUUUUCCAUUUGCAUUCGUGACGGGAGAAUGGAGGAGAUGGAAUGUCCUUGUGCUGAAUUUAGUAAAGGUUCUUGUGCUGAAUUUAGUAAAACAGAGACCACCAGAGGAAGUGAUGAGAGACUGGCAAUGAUGUACUGAAUGAGCAUGGUGGAAAGACAACAUAGUCAAAUGGGGGUUUGUCAUAAGCCUAACUUGUGCACAGCCUGCUUUGAUAGAGAGCCUACAGGAUAUUUUCAUCUAUGUGACCUUACCGCCUGUAUACCUUGUACACUAAAUAUUUUUAAAAACAAUGUAGGAAGAAAUACCCUAAAUAUGGGAGUAAAAUUGAAGCUGUCAGAAACAUUUAUAACUAAAAAAGUAUUUGAUAAUAUAAUAGCAAUUCUGA
rnacentral:lncRNA from 1 species